ensembl:lncRNA
CGAAUUUCUAGGAAUGCCCCUUCCCUGUUACUAUAUUUGGAGGUAGCUUCUAGGAAAAAAAUAAUUUUCAGACGGUCUUGGACUCACCACACCUACUAUACAAGGACCCACUUCACCUAAGAUUCUCUGACAAGGACCCUAAAGGAGUUUAGAAGCCAAAUGACUGGGAUCAUCAACUCCAGUGACAGAGCUGCAUGUCUUUUAGCAGUGUUGCAGAAAUGAGCAUGGAGAGGGAAUAGGAAAGGGGAGAGGUGUCUUUGUGGCAACGAGUGACUCUUCUCUAGUUAUCUCCUGGUUGCUGGGUUUUCCCCCCUGCACUUUCUUUUGCAGUUGAAAGGAAGAUGAUUGUUUGAAAAUUAUUAAUAAAUCCUCCUUUUUUCUUCUUCUCUUUUUUACCCUUCCUCCCACCCCCCUUGAUGUGGCCUCUUGUUUAGCUUGUGGCGUGACCAUGAUGAAGAAAUUUUUCUGGGAGCCUGGCAGUGUGAUCUUUUUAUGUAAUGAGUCAGGAUUUUGCCAAGGGAAGAAGCAAGGUUUGAGGAUUGAGUGUCUGUCUCCUUUCAAGAAGAAAACUGACAGGCGAGAUGCACCUUUUUCCCAGGAUCCUUUUUUCCCCUCCCCACCUCACAGGAAUGACAAGUGACUGUGCUUGGUGGACCUCCAAUUGUUUCUUGGAAAAUACUUCAAGAAGUGAGGACUAGAGUAUUGCAAAGUUCAGAAGAAAAGUUAGUCUACUAGAAAAUCUUGAUGUUAUAAAGUGGGAAAUAAGAACAAAAUGUAGCGAAGCUCUCCAAAGAGCAUUAGGAACCAACUAUUUUCUGAUAAAAUUUAGCAGUAAUUUCUCUCCAGACAGUGAAAUCCAACUUUUAUUUAAAAGCUCUGAGAACUGAAAUAUUUAUCUUUAUAAUGCUAAAUGCAUUCAGUAAAAUGUUUCCAUUCUUAUGCAUAACGUUUUGUUACCCAGCUAUAUUUCUGCAAUUUUUAAAAUAGAUUUUAAUUUAGUUUUUUAUUGAUAGUACACAGAUUCCAUGUAUAAUCUUCCUAGCAGCAUUCAGCUAAAUAUAAAAUAAGUAGAGUGUUUAAAUGAAUAUACUUAAAUUCUAAAAUGUCAACAAGCAUAAAGAUAUGAGUCUAACCCUGAAGGCCUUCCUCAUCCAAAAUUCCCAUUGACUUAUUUUUUCCAUUAGUAAGGACUACAGGUGCAGACGUUGUCUGUUUCCAAUGUAUAUUAAAAUGAUAGAUUCAGAUGUCAAACAAAUAUACUAAACACCAAAUCUCUAUUUUAAUUAAGUUUGUAACUCAAACCAGUGACACCCAGGUAAUACAGUGAUGGAUACCAUGAAAUGCUUGUAAUAAAAAUUAAAUUGCAGCUUUGCCCCUUCA